CUUAAGAUUUGCAGUUUGUUGUACAGCCAUGAGGAAAGCUCACGAACUUCAAUCAGUUUAGAUUUAUGAGUGAACAAAGUAACUUCCUGCUCCUGCCUGUAUGCCAAGUGAAGGAAAGCAAGUCAAAGCAUGUGUGUGUGUGCGUGUGUGUGUGUGCUUGGGAGGGAGUGUUGGGGGAAUUUACAACUACUUACCAGAAACGAGUCAUCACUUUAGAAGCUGACACAAUGAAGGUCUUCACAAAGUGCAAGUGGCUCUUUAAUAUAUUACAACAUUUCCCCUUUGGCCAUAAUGAGAAAACUAGGAGAAGAAAAAAAACAACUACAGUAUCAGCAUAAAAUUUUUGGCAGAAGAAUUAGCACAACCUCAAAGGAAUCAUAGAAAUCUCUAAUUAUGUCUUUCUCUUACUGCUAGAUGAAAAGGCUUUUCACUCUUAGCCUCUGAUUUCUCCCUCUCUCUCUCUCUCUCUCUCCCUCUCUCUCGCUGUCUCUCACUUUCUCUCUUCGCCUCUCUCUCUCACAUGAAUACACACAUCAUUUGCGAUCUCCUUGUUUUGAAGGUCCAGUUCAUGUCCUCCUGAGCGUCAAGUCGGCAGGCAUCUCUUUAUGAUUUUGUAAUGAUUAACUUUACGUCCAUAAAAAACGUGGAGAAACAAAGAACUCUGGGACGAGCAAAAGAAGAAGUGAAGAGAAGAAAACAUCCUCCACAGUGAACUGCGGGACGGUUAACAAUGGAGCUCACGGUUUUGCUCUUCCUUUUACCUGCAUUUACGCUCACAAUGCAAGCCCACAUUUCAUAUAGGUUUGUGGGCAUUUGUUAAUCCACAGCUCUUUUACGGUCCUGCCAUGGCAUUUCAGUCACCCUCAGCCCAGACUCUGUAAACUUGGAGGUGAGCCCCGAGAUAUUCGCAGAGUGUGGCAAACCGGUUUCCCUUCACUGCAACUCUUCAUCACCUCAGCAUGGACUAUCAGUCAAAUACAUGGAGUGGUCCCACGGCAACAUGUCUUUAUGUUCGGUGGACAGCGAACAAACAAUAACCAAAUUACAAAGACACUAUGAAAGUGACUUCGACUGCAAGUACGAAGAUGGACGACUGUCCCUGGUGUUCGAAAGAAUGCUGCCUCUGCAGAGCGGACAGUACAGGUGCAAACUGCGCUCCAACAAAGGAGUGGCAACUGAAUACACAAAGGUGCAGCUGCAAGAGUUCUGUGGGAAUGUGGAAGCUGUUUUAAGGAGUGAUGGUCCAUCCUGCAUCUUCAACCACGUCUAUCCAGACGGGGAUGUGCACUGGUUUCACGACUCUCGUAACGUCUCGGACGGGUCCGUGAUCCAGCACACUGCUAAAAGUAUCGACAAACACGGCUGGAUGAUCAUACAGAGUUGGUUGACUCUAAACGGUACAUCAGAGAGAAGUUCACACAAGCCAUACAACUGUUCUUUGAAAAGUUCUGCUUCUGGGAAAUACAUUGCAAGUACUUUAGUUCAGAAACAUGAACGUAGGGCCGUUCCAGGUGCUAUAGGGUUCGACCGCUCUGCAGGAAACAGAGAGAGCUCACAGCAAGCUGGGAAGAUUGCUUUGGCUAUUUUAGUCCCACUCAUUUCCAUGUUAAAAUAAUGAACUGUGAAAAGUAAAAACUCACUCUGGGGAAUGAUAAAACGUCAGAGUGAAUGAUUAGUAAUCUGUACCAUCAUUAAUAAGAGGGUACUCAGAAUCUAUUAAAGAACUGUGGCAACCAAACAGAUGGGUGAGUCAUCUUGCCAGGCUGGAAUAUUUCUAAUUCUACCUUUUAAUUCUUGGCUCAGGUAAACAAGAAAAUUACAGGCUGUUCAAGUGUGAUAACAAGGAUGCUGAUAAUUUUAAACUAUAAAAGCACUUGGCUGGCAGAGAGCGUUAGAUGAGGGAACAGGGCUUGUUGGAUUCCAACACACAACUUGGAAAUACACCUACAGAAAGCACACGCUAACAGUCUGGCUGCUACAAACUAAGUUAAUGUCAGAGUAAUGAGUUUUGAUAGCUGGGCAGUGCGGGAAAUAAGUAUUUUUCAAGCUUGCCCGCUGAAAAAUGUAGAGGUCUAUAAUUCUGAGGUAAGGUGAUUAAUUGUAGAUACUUUUUGAACAGCAUUUAAAAUAUAUAGAGAAAAUUGCAUUGUAUGGUUGAUAAAUAUUUUAUCAAUUACCAACCAGCAAGACAUCAGGCUUUCACAAAUCUAUUAGUUCAUCUUUUUUUAAAAAAAAAAAAAUCCCUCCUAUAGUCCUUUCAUUACCUGUGUUAAUUACACCUGUUGGAACUAGUUACCUGUGUAAAUGACAAAUGUUCACAAACUCAAUCAGAUCCCAACCUCUCCAGCAGGGGAAACACCAAAGAGCAGUCUAAGGACAGGGACAACACUGUAGAUCUUCAAAGAACUGUAGAAGGAAUGGUCCUGAGGACGAUAGGCAAGCAACUUGGUCAGAAGGCAAUAAAUAACUGUUGGUGAAAUUAUUAGGAACCUGAAGAAACACAAGAUGAUUGUUAAUUUCCAUCAAACUGGGGCUCCAUGCAAGUUCUCACUUUGUGGAAUAGCAGUAAUCAUGAGAAAGGUGACUUGUCAGCCUAGCCUUAAAGGUUACCAUAGUAACACAUUCUGCUGUCAUGGAUUAAAAUCCUGCAGUGCGUGACCAUCUGAUUGAUCCAGAGGACUCAUUGGUUCAAAUGAGACCAAAAUAGAACUUUGUGACAUGAACCCCAUCAGCCUGAGUAUAAACCUAAGAAAACCAUCCCAUGUGGGUGGAAACAUCAUGCUUUUCCUGUAAAACUCACUGGAUAACUUUACCUCAUUGAGGAAAGGAUGUAUGGAGACACCAACCGUGACAUUUUGCCUUACAAACGCCUUGGUUCAGUACCACUAUUCAAGAUGGAUUAUGCUACACUGAUGGGCCUUUCAGCAUGACAACGACCUGAAACCUCUGCUUUCUUUGUAAAUGGAGAAACUUGAAAAAUAUGUGGCAUAUCAAAUACUUAUUUUCCACACUGUAAGUCUUCAGACCACAUAUCAUUUUAAUAAUAUGCUUUGCAUUGCAAAUGCUGAUGUAAUAAUAAUGUGGGUGAUUGACUCCACUGUGCAUCACUCUCAGACGCACAGAUAUGGAGGAUAAAAUACUGUAAAUAUUUUAUAAAAAUACACACGCACUGUAAAUGAUCAGACCCGUUCGUGGUAUGCAGAACGAUGCUGCCCUCUGGUGGUCCAAUAGUUUGUAGCAUCAAAUUAAAAACAGAAUAGAAAUUUAUGUUUCAUUUAUGGAAAACUAGUGCAUACUUGAGCGUAGCAAUCAUCAUAGGUUCGUAUGUGAUUUCUUAUUGUUCACCAAAUUACAUUUCAGUAACAAUAUAGCCGUUAAAAAUAUUAUUAGAGACAUAAUUUCCCCAUUUAUUUAUAUUUUUUGAUGAACUCACCAGCAAGACUAUGCUACACUGAUGAACCAGAGGCUAUAAAGGGAACAUUUUUGGAUUUAUAAGUAGUUCUACUGAGUAGUGUAUUCAUUGAAAUCCACUAAUCAAACCCAAAACAGUUUGUCACAAGUCUCUGUUGUGGUUAAUUCAUUUCCUAUUUUAAUUUUGAAUUAACUCAAUUGAACAGUGAUGCACUGUUGUUGUGAAAUAUGAAUAAACUGAAUUAAGUUAAAAAUGUUUCCUAUAUCCGAAGCUAAAGAUAUUUGAUCCAAUCGGCACCGUUGAUUUUAAACUGAACUGAUUAUAUAAAAAAUGCUGAUUAAAUAAAACUGGCAGUAUACACAUAUAAAUCUAGUGCUGCUGAACAUGAGUUUUGCCCUUGUAUGGUCUAACAUUUCUCCAACUCAGCCUGAUUUUCUUCGCUAGACCACAAGUCAACAUGAAUAAUGAUUGUAAUAUACAGUGUCCACACUAAAAUUGUAUUAUCCUGGCUGAUAUGAAAGUAGGUAAGUAGCAAUUAUACAUCAUUUAGUACUCUUGGAAAAUAUUGUAAAAUCCCUUGUUAGAACUGAAAACAGCUAAAUGGCCAAUAGUACAACAUUAGUGCAGCUGUAAGUGGGUGAACUGCAAGUAGACCCACAAUUUAAAUGCUUUCCCACAGAAUCAGAUGCCAGGUCUUAUACUUAUUUGGUUUGAAGAAAUGUAAGAGAGUGUUUGAAUGAUGGAGAAUUUGAUAUGGAUUGAUAUAGAUAAAUAGGAGCUUUUUUUUUAUCUGUUUGCAAAUUUUACUUUGUUUAAAACAGUCAGCGAAGGUAAAAUGACAGUUUUAAUAGGCCUUCACCAUGAAGGCAAAUGUAGCUUCAGGGUAAAAGCUCUUAUUUUCUAACGCUUCAGUGCUCCUUGUUCCAGUCAUGAUAGCUCUCUGCCUGUGAUGUCACUGAAUAAAGGGAAAGGUUGAGCUUUUAAAGGCCAGAUUAGUCACACACAUGGGAUGUAGCAAGACUGUAGUGCAGCUCACUGUGAGGAAAUACUUCAAGGUGACUUUUACCAGUGCAAGGUGCACAGAUGCAUCCUAACAUACGUACAAACUAACAUUGAGUUUUAACCCAGAUCUCUUAAUGUUUUUUUUUAUUUCUAAGCAACAAGUUUCAUCAAUAUCUAUAACUAGCCUUUGAAUAAAAAAUAAAAAUCUAAUAUAUAUAUAUAUAUAUAUAUAUAUAUAUAUAUAUUAUUUUCUGAGCUUAAAUUGUGCAAAGAGGGGAUUUAAUCAUGGGUAAAUUACUUAAUCUUGUGAUUUUUAAAAAUAAUAUGUUGCAUGUUUUCUGAUUGUUAUUUUUUUAUUUUGUAUAUUUCUUUUAGUUGUGUGUAACUGCUGUGAUUCUUACUUCUGAAGACAUGAGAAAUUAGUUCUGUAUUAUUUUCUCCUAAAUAACUUUAUACCACUGGAGGCCAACAUACUGCAUAAUAUCUUGUGGCUUAAAAUGUCAUUCAAACUUAGAGAGAUUGUCAGUAAAUCGAUAAAGCCAUAUUCUAGUCACUGUUAACUGUAAAGAGGAAAAUGUGUGAAACACAAUUUGAUCCUUAAAUAAAUCUUUAAAUAGCUUUAAGGAAACUUGUGUAAUAUUUUGCUGUGGGUCAAAAUCAACCUUUAAAAGAGUUUUUUAAUUUUAAAUCUGCUGAUGCUUUUCUGAAAUGUUUCACAAUGAUAAUAAGUUGCAUCAGUGAUUUUUUUUUCCAGUGCCUGAGUGAAAUGAUAAAUUGCAUAUCAGUUUUGUAAAUUCCUAUCGUCCUGGGAAUAAUAUUUUCAGUCACUUUCUUAGCUGGCACAAAUAAAAGACUGACUGGUAAUGUGUGGAAAAGUGUGAUUCCUUUCACGGAUGCCAUGCAGAAUUAAAGUAUUCUGGCAACACUAAA